GAUGAACGCUGGCGGCGCGCCUAACACAUGCAAGUCGAACGAUUAAAUCACCUUCGGGUGCGUAUAACGUGGCCAACGGCUGAGUAACACAUGGGCAACCUGCCCCUUUCAUUGGCAUAGCCACGGUCAACCGUGGAUAAUACCGAAUACUUCGAGACUUCCGCAUGGAAGACUCGAGAAAGCUCCGGCGGUGCGGGAUUGGUCCGCCGCCAGUGAGCUUGUUGGUGGGGUAACGGCCUACCAAGGCAAUGAUGGGUAGCUGGGUUGAGAGACCGAACAGCCAGAAUGGGACUGAGAGACGGCCCAGACUCCUACGGGAGGCAACAGGGGGGAACCUGGCACAAUGAGCGAAAGCCUGAGGCAGAGACGCCGCGUGCGGGAUGAAGGCUUGCGGGUUAUAAACCGCUUUCAGCAGGGACGAGGCGGAAGUGACGGUACCUGAAGAAGAAGCCCCGGCUAACUACGUG
rnacentral:rRNA from 1 species